rnacentral:rRNA from 1 species
AGAACGAACGCUGGCGGCAGGCCUAAUACAUGCAAGUCGAACGCACUCUUCGGAGUGAGUGGCAGACGGGUGAGUAACGCGUGGGAACCUUCCCAACGGUACGGAAUAACUCCGGGAAACCGGUGCUAAUACCGUAUAAGCCCCUCGGGGGAAAGAUUUAUCGCCAUUGGAUGGGCCCGCGUCGGAUUAGCUAGUUGGUAAGGUAAUGGCUUACCAAGGCUACGAUCCGUAGCUGGUCUGAGAGGAUGAUCAGCCACACUGGGACUGAGACACGGCCCAGACUCCUACGGGAGGCAGCAGUAGGGAAUCUUGGACAAUGGGCGAAAGCCUGAUCCAGCCAUGCCGCGUGAAUGAAGAAGGCCUUAGGGUUGUAAAGCUCGUUUUGGCGGGGACGAUAAUGACGGUACCCGCAGAAUAAGCCCGGCUAACUUCGUGCCAGCAGCCGC